GAUGAACGCUGGCGGCGUGCCUAAUACAUGCAAGUCGAGCGAACGGACGAGAAGCUUGCUUCUCUGAUGUUAGCGGCGGACGGGUGAGUAACACGUGGAUAACCUACCUAUAAGACUGGGAUAACUUCGGGAAACCGGAGCUAAUACCGGAUGAUAUUUUGAACCGCAUGGUUCAAAAGUGAAAGACGGUCUUGCUGUCACUUAUAGAUGGUUCCGCGCUGCAUUAGCUAGUUGGUAAGGUAACGGCUUACCAAGGCAACGAUGCAUAGCCGAACUGAGAGGGUGAUCGGCCACACUGGAACUGAGACACGGUCCAGACUCCUACGGGAGGCAGCAGUAGGGAAUCUUCCGCAAUGGGCGAAAGCAUGACGGAGCAACGCCGCGUGAGUGAUGAAGGUCUUCGGAUCGUAAAACUCUGUUAUUAGGGAAGAACAUAUGUGUAAGUAACUGUGCACAUCUUGACGGUACCUAAUCAGGAAGCCACGGCUAACUACGUG
rnacentral:rRNA from 1 species